rnacentral:rRNA from 1 species
GACUACCGGGGUAUCUAAGCCCGUUCGCUCCCCUGGCUUUCGCGCCUCAGCGUCAGUUGCUGGCCAGUAAGCCGCCUUCGCCACUGGUGUUCUUCCCGAUAUCUACGCAUUUCACCGCUACACCGGGAAUUCCGCCUACCUCUCCAGCACUCUAGAUACCCAGUUUCAACCGCAUACAUGAGUUGAGCUCAUGCCUUUUACAGCUGACUUAAAUAUCCGCCUGCGCGCCCUUUACGCCCAGUAAUUCCGGACAACGCUCGUCCCCUACGUAUUACCGCGGCUGCUGGCACGUAGUUAGCCGGGACUUCCUCGUAUGGUACCGUCACUUCCUUCUUCCCAUACAACAGAGGUUUACGACCCAAAGGCCUUCUUCCCUCACGCGGCGUCGCUGGGUCAGGCUUGCGCCCAUUGCCCAAUAUUCCCCACUGCAGCCGCCCGUAGG